rnacentral:rRNA from 1 species
CCUACGGGUGGCUGCAGUGGGGAAUAUUGGACAAUGGGCGAAAGCCUGAUCCAGCCAUGCCGCGUGUGUGAAGAAGGCCUUCGGGUUGUAAAGCACUUUCAGUGGGGAAGAAAGCCUUGGGGCUAAUACCCUCGAGGAAGGACAUCACCCACAGAAGAAGCACCGGCUAACUCCGUGCCAGCAGCCGCGGUAAUACGGAGGGUGCGAGCGUUGAUCGGAAUUACUGGGCGUAAAGCGCGCGUAGGCGGUCUGAUAAGCCGGUUGUGAAAGCCCCGGGCUCAACCUGGGAACGGCAUCCGGAACUGUCAGGCUAGAGUGCAGGAGAGGAAGGUAGAAUUCCCGGUGUAGCGGUGAAAUGCGUAGAGAUCGGGAGGAAUACCAGUGGCGAAGGCGGCCUUCUGGACUGACACUGACGCUGAGGUGCGAAAGCGUGGGUAGCAAACAGGAUUAGAUACCCCAGUAGUC